rnacentral:rRNA from 1 species
GACGUAGGGCGCGAGCGUUGUCCGGAUUUAUUGGGCGUAAAGAGCUCGUAGGCGGCUCAUCGCGUCGUGCGUGAAAACCCGUAGCUCAACUGCGGGCUUGCGUUCGAUACGGGUGGGCUGGAGUUCGGUAGGGGAGACUGGAAUUCCUGGUGUAGCGGUGAAAUGCGCAGAUAUCAGGAGGAACACCGGUGGCGAAGGCGGGUCUCUGGGCCGAUACUGACGCUGAGGAGCGAAAGCGUGGGGAGCGAACAGG